rnacentral:ncRNA from 19 species
UUCUUAUCCAGAGAGGUGGAGGGACUGGCCCUUUGAAGCCUCAGCAACAGGUCGAAAGACACUGUGCUAAUUCCUGCGGGUGUUGUACCCGAUCGAUAAGCU